UGUCAUGAUGAGGUAAUUUGCGAUUGAUACCUUUCGGUGGCUCUCUCGCCGGAGUAGCUAUACCGAUCGGAUAUUUGAUAUUUAAUUCUUACAUAUUCUGAAC
rnacentral:snoRNA from 1 species